UACAAGGUUUUGCUUCCAGAUCUACAUCUCCACUCGCUCUGCCUAUUAGAAAGGAAUUUUCAGGAGCCCCUGACAAACAAGUCCAAGAGUUGAUUUCUUUAACCAGAAGUAAGAUGGAAGAUGGGGUGUGCAAGCAGGAAAAAAAGCCACUGGAAACAAACCACCAGGUUCUGAAUAACACCACUGUGUAGAGCUGAUACUUUGGGAGAUUUAAAAUGUUCAACACCAUGCUGGAAAUAUAAAACAGGAACAUUUGGAUAAAAUUGUCCCAACCACAAAUGAGCUGAAAAAAAUCUAAACGGCUGUUGGAGUUCCUUAGAAAAGAGUUACUGAAUGUGCAGCUGAAAGAUUAAUGUGUGGUAACAGGUUUUAUUAGAGCACCAAAUUAUUACAAAGAGAUUUAAAGUGGGGCUGCUGGAUUUAUCUUUGAUUGUUUUGUAUUUUUGUUACUCUUAUGCUGUACCUUGAAAAGA